UAGGGAAUCUUCCGCAAUGGACGCAAGUCUGACGGAGCAACGCCGCGUGAGUGAAGAAGGAUUUCGGUUCGUAAAACUCUGUUGUUAGAGAAGAACAGCGCAUAGAGUAACUGUUAUGCGUGUGACGGUAUCUAACCAGAAAGCCACGGCUAACUACGUGCCAGCAGCCGCGGUAAUACGUAGGUCCCGAGCGUUGUCCGGAUUUAUUGGGCGUAAAGCGAGCGCAGGCGGUCAAUUAAGUCUGAUGUGAAAGCCCGCGGCUCAACCGGGGAGGGGCAUUGGAAACUGGUUGACUUGAGUGCAGAAGAGGAGAGUGGAAUUCCAUGUGUAGCGGUGAAAUGCGUAGAGAUAGGGAGGAACAGCAGUGGCGAAGGCGAGUUUCUGGUCAUCAUCUGACGCUGAGGUACGAAAGCGUGGGUAGCAAACAGG
rnacentral:rRNA from 1 species